AUUGAACGCUGGCGGCAGGCCUAACACAUGCAAGUCGAGCGAGCGGCGGACGGGUGAGUAAUGUCUGGGAAACUGCCUGAUGGAGGGGGAUAACUACUUGAAACGGUAGCUAAUACCGCAUACCAUCAGAUUUGCCCAGAUGGGAUUGGCUAGUGGGUUGGGUAACGGCUCACCUAGGCGACGAUCCCUAGCUGGUCUGAGAGGCUGACCAGCCACACUGGAACGGGGACACGGUCCAGAUGCCUACGGGAGGAAGCAGUGGGGAAUAUUGCACAAGGGGCGCAAGCCUGAUGCAGCCAUGCCGCGUGUGUGAAGAAGGCCUUCGGGUUGUAAAGCACUUUCAGCGGGAAGGCGUUACCCGCAGAAGAAGCAACGGCUAACUCCGUGCAAGCAGCCGCGGUAAUUC
rnacentral:rRNA from 1 species